rnacentral:rRNA from 1 species
GACGAACGCUGGCGGCGUGCCUAAUACAUGCAAGUCGAGCGCAGGAAAUCGACGGAACCCUUCGGGGGGAAGUCGACGGAAUGAGCGGCGGACGGGUGAGUAACACGUAAAGAACCUGCCCUCAGGUCUGGGAUAACCACGAGAAAUCGGGGCUAAUACCGGAUGGGUCAUCGGACCGCAUGGUCCGAGGAUGAAAGGCGCUUCGGCGUCGCCUGGGGAUGGCUUUGCGGUGCAUUAGCUAGUUGGUGGGGUAAUGGCCCACCAAGGCGACGAUGCAUAGCCGACCUGGGGGGGUGAUCGGCCACACUGGGACGGAGACACGGCCCAGACUCCUACGGGAGGCAGCAGUAGGGAAUCUUCCACAAUGGACGAAAGUCUGAUGGAGCAACGCCGCGUGAACGAUGAAGGCCUUCGGGUCGUAAAGUUCUGUUGUAAGGGAAGAACAAGUGCCGCAGGCAAUGGCGGCACCUUGACGGUACCUUGCGAGAAAGCCACGGCUAACUACGUGCCAGCCGCCGCGGUAA